UGAACGCUGGCGGCGUGCCUAACACAUGCAAGUCGAACGAGAACGGGUAUUAGUUUACUAAUACUGUCAGCUAAGUGGCGCACGGGUGAGUAAUAUAUAGUUAAUCUGCCCCAAAGAAGAGAAUAAUUGUUGGAAACGACUUGUAAUGCUCUAUAUGCCUCUAUUACAUAAGUAAGCGAGGGAAACAUUUAUGGCUUUGGGAUGAGACUGUACGGUAUCAGUUUGUUGGUGAGGUAAUGGCUCACCAAGACUAUGACGCCUAACUGGUUUGAGAGGAUGAUCAGUCACACUGGAACUGAGACACGGUCCAGACUCCUACGGGAGGCAGCAGUGGGGAAUAUUGCACAAUGGAGGAAACUCUGAUGCAGCAACGCCGCGUGGAGGAUGACACAUUUCGGUGCGUAAACUCCUUUUAUUAGGGAAGAUAAUGACGGUACCUAAUGAAUAAGCACCGGCUAACUCC
rnacentral:rRNA from 1 species